ACACCUCAACUCUCACGGUUUGCCGUGAUGAGCUUGGACUUUGGAGGUCUUGCCGGCCUGUGGUUGGCUCCUCUCAAAUGAAUCAGCUUGCCAGUGUUUGGUGGCAUCCCAGGUGUGAUAACUAUCUACGCUUGUGGCUUUCCACCAGGUAACCUUCAGCGAUGGAGGUUCGCUGGGGCUCACAAAUGUCUCUCCCAAGUGAGGACGGCUUCUUGAAU
rnacentral:misc_RNA from 1 species